rnacentral:rRNA from 1 species
AGUGAACGCUGGCGGUAGGCCUAACACAUGCAAGUCGAACGGCAGCACAGGAGAGCUUGCUCUCUGGGUGGCGAGUGGCGGACGGGUGAGGAAUACAUCGGAAUCUACUCUGUCGUGGGGGAUAACGUAGGGAAACUUACGCUAAUACCGCAUACGACCUACGGGUGAAAGCAGGGGACCUUCGGGCCUUGCGCGAUUGAAUGAGCCGAUGUCGGAUUAGCUAGUUGGCGGGGUAAAGGCCCACCAAGGCGACGAUCCGUAGCUGGUCUGAGAGGAUGAUCAGCCACAGUGGAACUGAGACACGGUCCAGAGUCCUACGGGAGGAAGCAGUGGGGAAUAUUGGACAAUGGGCGCAAGCCUGAGCCAGCCAUACCGCGUGGGUGAAGAAGGCCUUCGGGUUGUAAAGCCCUUUUGUUGGGAAAGAAAUCCAGCUGGCUAAUACCCGGUUGGGAUGACGGUACCCAAAGAAUAAGCACCGGCUAACUUCGUGCCAGCCGCCGCCGUAA